AUUGACCGCUGGCGGCAGGCUUAACACAUGCAAGUCGAACGAGUGGCGGACGGGUGAGUAAUGCUUGGGAAUCUAGCUUAUGGAGGGGGCUAACUACGGGAAACUGUAGCUAAUACCGCGUACCAUCGGAUGAGCCCAAGUGGGCUUAGGUAGUUGUUGGGGUAAAGGCUCACAAAGCCGACGAUCUCUAGCGGGUCUGAGAGGAUGACCAGCCAAACUGGGACUGCGACACGGCCCAGACGCCUACGGGAGGCAGAAGUGGGGAAUAUUGCGCGAGGGGGGCAACCUGACGCAGCCAUGCCGCGGGAAUGAAGAGGGCCUUGGGGUUGAAAAGUUCUUUCUGGAGAGAGGCGUUAACUACAGAAGAAGCACCGGCGACCACCGUGCCAGCAGCCGGGGAAAAC
rnacentral:rRNA from 1 species